rnacentral:rRNA from 1 species
UUAAAUUUUUGAAGUUAUCUUAGCUUUUUUUGUUGGGUGAAAUCAGUAUAAAGAGUCUCUCUUUCUUUUAAAAUUAAUAGGAAUUAAAAAACUUUGAUUUAAAACCAGGAUUAGAUACCCUGUUAUUCUAAGUUAUAUUUAGACAGGGUAGUAAAAGUUGUUCUUCAAACCCAAAGAUUUUGGCGGCACUUUAUCCAAAUAGAGGAGCUUGUCCCUUAAUCGAUAGUCCCCGUUUUAUCUUUCCUCUGUUUGUAAAGCUUGUAUACCGCCGUUGUCAGAUUACUUUUAGAGAAUGUUUUCAAGUUAAAAGACUUUUUUACUUCAGGUCAAGGUGCAGUUUAUAUAGAGGUGGAGGUGAGCUACAAUUUUCUUUAGAAAUACGGAUUUCAAGCCUUGAAGCUGGUUGAAGGUGGAUUUAUUAGUAAAGUAA